rnacentral:rRNA from 1 species
GACGGAGGAUGCAAGCGUUAUCCGGAAUGAUUGGGCGUAAAGCGUCCGCAGGUGGCAGUUCAAGUCUGCUGUCAAAGACCGGGGCUUAACUUCGGAAAGGCAGUGGAAACUGAACAGCUAGAGUAUGGUAGGGGCAGAGGGAAUUCCUGGUGUAGCGGUGAAAUGCGUAGAGAUCAGGAAGAACAUCGGUGGCGAAGGCGCUCUGCUGGACCAUAACUGGCACUCAGGGACGAAAGCUAGGGGAGCGAAUGGG